GACGAACGCUGGCGGCGUGCCUAAUACAUGCAAGUCGAACGCUUUUUCUUUCACCGGAGCUUGCUCCAUCGAAAGAAAAAGAGUGGCGAACGGGUGAGUAACACGUGGGUAACCUGCCCAUCAGAAGGGGAUAACACUUGGAAACAGGUGCUAAUACCGUAUAACACUAUUUUCCGCAUGGAAGAAAGUUGAAAGGCGCUUUUGCGUCACUGAUGGAUGGACCCGCGGUGCAUUAGCUAGUUGGUGAGGUAACGGCUCACCAAGGCAACGAUGCAUAGCCGACCUGAGAGGGUGAUCGGCCACACUGGGACUGAGACACGGCCCAGACUCCUACGGGAGGCAGCAGUAGGGAAUCUUCGGCAAUGGACGAAAGUCUGACCGAGCAACGCCGCGUGAGUGAAGAAGGUUUUCGGAUCGUAAAACUCUGUUGUUAGAGAAGAACAAGGAUGAGAGUAACUGUUCAUCCCUUGACGGUAUCUAACCAGAAAGCCACGGCUAACUACGUGCCAGCCGCCGCCGUAA
rnacentral:rRNA from 1 species